AGCUCAUGAAUUUCUUUAUUUUAAACUUAGUUUUAUAAGUUUAUGAUUUGUGAUUUGAAUUCUGCAUUUGGAUGUCUUUAAAUGGUUGUUUCAUGAAAUGGAGAGUCACUAGUGGUGUUUAUGAUAAUUGCAUAUUGGGCUCUGUUAUGGAUCAUAUAUGGUCAUCUAAAUUCUUUAUUUUUCCUUUUUGAUUAACUGUUUUUCUGCUUAGCAUCCAUUGGUGUCACGGCUUCCUUUCUGAUGAGUGUUGCAGAGAAAAACUUUGAUACUUUUGUAGAGUGUAAUGGAUGAUAGGCAGGCACUUAGAAAUUGCAUACGUGGCAUACAAGUAUCCAUUUUCAAAGGUCAGGAUUAUUCGACCAAUCUGAUUGUAGGAUGUGACUUAUUGACUGUCAGUUCCACAAUUUAGUUAGUUUAAUUUGACUUAAUAAUUAAUAUAUGCCAUAGACAAGGUGAUGGGGGUGUUGCCUUUUAAAGAAGCAUGUUUUCUGGUAAUGUUAGUUGCCUCUCCUAUUAAAUGAGAGUCUAAGAUGUUGGGAGGAUCCAUAAAAAAUUAUAUUUUUGGAAACUGAGUUCCUGACUUUUGUUUUAUGCCAGAAAUCUUGACAAUGUAGCCUAACUGGUGGAAAAAUCUGAUCAAGCACACAAUUGUGGCUGAGUAUGGACGGACAGGGACAACGCUCUCCACAUGUGUGGAAUUAGCAAACCUCCUAAAUGCAUAUUGUUGCAUUUAUAGUUCUGUAAAAUUUUCAAUUAAUUUUUAUAUAGAAAUCUACAUGCCAAUUGUUUGAAGAAAUGCUUUAAUUUCUUCCAUGAGAGGUGAUCUUCAACUUUGUAGGCUAGAAUAGUGUAUUGAGCUGAUAUGUCUAUUCCAUCCAAGCAGGAGUUAUGCCUUGGUGAUCCAAACUGUUGAUGUUAUGUGAUGUAUUUCUUUGUUUCCUUUGAUUUUGGUUAUCUGAGGUUGGGCAUUGUUGUAUGAAAAGAAAAGAAAAAACCUUGACAAUGUUGGGAUCGGGAUCAUUAGGAAACACCGAUUGUAGGGCUUUCUUCUUGUAGAGUUUGGGCUGGGUAUUGUAUUUGAGUGCAAAUGAUAGGUGGGGCCCUUGCUUCUUGUGAGACCCUGCCUGAAUGUUUGUAUCUACCUCCUUUGUAAUAUAACUACUGAUUGAAUUAAAAAAAAACUAUUGAUUUCUCAUUUUUGUCUUUUCUUUUGUAUGAAUAGGAUACAGUGAACUUGGUUUGGUCUUUGUUGUUGUUUCAUUUAGCUUGUUUGGAAUCAAAGAUGAUGAGAUUAUGUUGUUGUUUUGAAGUUUUGAAAGUUCUGAAAUCUGAGGAAAUCAUUGUUGGUGUGGAGUGAACUGGAGUGUUUACUGACAAUGACAAGGCUGCUGCCCAUUUGAAGGGCAAGUACUAGCAAUGGAAAUGGUUUGUUUAUGUUUAAAGUGGCUAGGAGAUGUAUCGGUAUGAAUUUUCUUGGGCUGGAAAUAAAUAAGAAGCUUGUGAAACAAUGUCUAGAUUUUGUUCAACAACAAACCUUGAAGAAUAUUGCUGGAUUGGUAAGCAUUUUCUAGCAUUGGGAAUAGAGAAUCCUGAUGUCUAUUUCUCUGAAAGGGUAUUUUUCUCAUCAUUUAUGCUUCCUUAGAAUU